GACGUAGGGCGCGAGCGUUGUCCGGAUUUAUUGGGCGUAAAGAGCUCGUAGGCGGCUUGUCGCGUCGACUGUGAAAACCCGUGGCUCAACCAUGUGGUCUGCAGUCGAUACGGGCAGGCUAGAAUUCGGUAGGGGAGACUGGAAUUCCUGGUGUAGCGGUGAAAUGCGCAGAUAUCAGGAGGGACACCGGUGGCGAAGGCGGGUCUCUGGGCCGAUAUUGACGCUGAGGAGCGAAAGCGUGGGGAGCGAACAGG
rnacentral:rRNA from 1 species